CAAUAGCGUAUAUUAAAGUUGUUGCAGUUAAAAAGCUCGUAGUUGGAUUUGUGGCGUACGGUGUGUUCCGGGCACUUGUUGUCUGAGUAACCUGCUGUUGCCAUCCUUGGGUGGAACCUGUGUGGCAUUAGGUUGUCGUGCAGGGGAUGCCCAUCAUUUACUGUGAAAAAAUUAGAGUGUUCAAAGCAGGCUUAUGCCGUUGAAUAUAUUAGCAUGGAAUAAUGAGAUAGGACUUUUUUGCUAUUUUGUUGGUUUGCGCAAGAAGGUAAUGAUUAAUAGGGACAGUUGGGGGUAUUCGUAUUCCAUUGUCAGAGGUGAAAUUCUUGGAUUUCUGGAAGACGAACUACUGCGAAAGCAUUUACCAAGGAUGUUUUCAUUAA
rnacentral:rRNA from 1 species